UGGGAAUCUUCCACAAUGGACGAAAGUCUGAUGGAGCAACGCCGCGUGAACGAUGAAGGCCUUCGGGUCGUAAAGUUCUGUUGUAAGGGAAGAACAAGUGCCGCAGGCAAUGGCGGCACCUUGACGGUACCUUGCGAGAAAGCCACGGCUAACUACGUGCCAGCAGCCGCGGUGAUACGUAGGUGGCAAGCGUUGUCCGGAAUUAUUGGGCGUAAAGCGCGCGCAGGCGGCCUCUUAAGUCUGAUGUGAAAGCCCCCGGCUCAACCGGGGAGGGCCAUUGGAAACUGGGAGGCUUGAGUAUAGGAGAGAAGAGUGGAAUUCCACGUGCAGCGGUGAAAUGCGUAGAGAUGUGGAGGAACACCAGUGGCGAAGGCGACUCUUUGGCCUAUAACUGACGCUGAGGCGCGAAAGCGUGGGGAGCAAACAGGAUUAGAUACCCUGGUAGUCCACGCCGUAAACGACGAGUGCUAGGUGUUGGAGGGUUUCCGCCCUUCAGUGCUGAAGCUAACGCAUUAAGCACUCCGCCUGGGGAGUACGGUCGCAAGGCUG
rnacentral:rRNA from 1 species